GGGCCCUUGGCCUAGUAUGGAUAGGGCGACAGGUUCCGGACCUGUAGAUCCCGCGUUCAAAUCGCGGAGGGCCCGCCA
rnacentral:tRNA from 1 species